AAAGAGCGGAGACAAGAUUCUUUCAAUAUUUGAGGAAUUACGAGGAAGUAACGCUCCUCCCCAUCUAGUGGAGGGGUUUGAGGACGCAUUGUCUUCUCUGCUAAAAGAUGUUCGAACCAUAGAGACAGAACAACAGCAGAUGGAAGAUCAAUUUAAUAGAGAACGGGAGAACCAUAGCGCACAUCUUGCAUCUAUUGAAGCAGAGCUGGAUAUUCAAGUAGCAAAGGUUGAAGCUGCCGUAAGAGAAAAGGCAAAGCAGGAUUUUGAAGCUGAAAAAAGAGCACUUCAGGAAAAAAUGGAAACUGAGAUCCUGGAACUACAAUCCCAUCUCAG